rnacentral:rRNA from 1 species
GAUGAACGCUGGCGGCGUGCCUAAUACAUGCAAGUCGAGCGAAGCGGGGACGGGUGAGUAACACGUGGAUAACCUCCUAUAAGACUGGGAUAACUUCGGGAAACCGGAGCUAAACCGGACCAUUAUAGCUGGAUCCGCGCUGCAUGAGCUAGUUGGUAAGGUAACGGCUUACCAAGGCAACGAUGCAUACCCGACCUGAGAGGGUGAGCGGCCAAACGGGAACUGAGAAACGGUCCAGACUCCUACGGGAGGCAGCAGUAGGGAAUCGUGCGCAAUGGGCGAAAGCCUGACGGAGCAACGCCGCGUGAGUGAUGAGGGGCUGAGGAUCGUAAAACGCUGUUAUUAGGGAAGCGGUACCUAAUCAGAAAGCCACGGCUAACUACGUGCCAGCAGCCGCGGUAAUUC